CGAGUCUUAACCGGGCGUUAAGUUGCAGGGUAUAGACCCGAAACCCGGUGAUCUAGCCAUGGGCAGGUUGAAGGUUGGGUAACACUAACUGGAGGACCGAACCGACUAAUGUUGAAAAAUUAGCGGAUGACCUGUGGCUGGGGGUGAAAGGCCAAUCAAACCGGGAGAUAGCUGGUUCUCCCCGAAAGCUAUUUAGGUAGCGCCUCGUGAAUUCAUCUCCGGGGGUAGAGCACUGUUUCGGCUAGGGGGCCAUCCCGGCUUACCAACCCGAUGCAAACUGCGAAUACCGGAGAAUGUUAUCACGGGAGACACACGGCGGGUGCUAACGUCCGUCGUGAAGAGGGAAACAACCCAGACCGCCAGCUAAGGUCCCAAAGUCAUGGUUAAGUGGGAAACGAUGUGGGAAGGCCCAGACAGCCAGGAUGUUGGCUUAGAAGCAGCCAUCAUUUAAAGAAAGCGUAAUAGCUCACUGGUCGAGUCGGCCUGCGCGGAAGAUGUAACGGGGCUAAACCAUGCACCGAAGCUGCGGCAGCGACGCUUAUGCGUUGUUGGGUAGGGGAGCGUUCUGUAAGCCUGCGAAGGUGGCCUGUGAGGGUUGCUGGAGGUAUCAGAAGUGCGAAUGCUGACAUAAGUAACGAUAAAGCGGGUGAAAAGCCCGCUCGCCGGAAGACCAAGGGUUCCUGUCCAACGUUAAUCGGGGCAGGGUGAGUCGACCCCUAAGGCGAGGCCGAAAGGCGUAGUCGAUGGGAAACGGGUUAAUAUUCCCGUACUUGGUGUUACUGCGAAGGGGGGACGGAGAAGGCUAUGUUGGCCGGGCGACGGUUGUCCCGGUUUAAGCGUGUAGGUGUGUGUUCCAGGUAAAUCCGGUUCACUUUAACACUGAGGCGUGACGACGAGGCACUACGGUGCUGAAGCAACAAAUGCCCUGCUUCCAGGAAAAGCCUCUAAGCAUCAGGUAACAUCAAAUCGUACCCCAAACCGACACAGGUGGUCAGGUAGAGAAUACCAAGGCGCUUGAGAGAACUCGGGUGAAGGAACUAGGCAAAAUGGUGCCGUAACUUCGGGAGAAGGCACGCUGACACGUAGGUGAAGUGAUUUACUCAUGGAGCUGAAGUCAGUCGAAGAUACCAGCUGGCUGCAACUGUUUAUUAAAAACACAGCACUGUGCAAACACGAAAGUGGACGUAUACGGUGUGACGCCUGCCCGGUGCCGGAAGGUUAAUUGAUGGGGUCAGCGCAAGCGAAGCUCCUGAUCGAAGCCCCGGUAAACGGCGGCCGUAACUAUAACGGUCCUAAGGUAGCGAAAUUCCUUGUCGGGUAAGUUCCGACCUGCACGAAUGGCGUAAUGAUGGCCAGGCUGUCUCCACCCGAGACUCAGUGAAAUUGAACUCGCUGUGAAGAUGCAGUGUACCCGCGGCAAGACGGAAAGACCCCGUGAACCUUUACUAUAGCUUGACACUGAACAUUGAGCCUUGAUGUGUAG
rnacentral:rRNA from 1 species